rnacentral:lncRNA from 1 species
GUGUUCUUGGACUUUUGGACCUUUUUCAAGCUUCUAUAUUGUAAGUACUUCUAUCCUAGAGUAUGUUAAGGCUUGAUACACUUCUUUACAUCAAGAAAACACCAUUGAAACCCAAGAUCAAAGGUGUUUACGGUCCAAGAACACCUUGGACUGUAAACCCUAAUCUAGGGGCCAAAGUGACCCUAGUCCCUUCACAAGCUUUGGAAACCAGUCUAGACUCAUUCCUUAAUAUUUUUAGGACUUGAAAGCAUCAAAAUACCAUAUUCCAUAAGGGUUUAUGGUAGUAAACCCAAAAGUAAAUGGCCUUAGGGCCGUAAACUCCUCAAAGGAGGGAAAUGGUGCCCUAAUCUCUUCCAAAGGCUUAACCAUCAAGUAGAAAUGCUUCUAAAGGACUUGUAGGGCUUCAAAACAAAACAUGAUCAAAGGAGUAUGAGUUUACGACCGUAAACUCAUGAGUUUACGACCGUAAACUCAAUGAGUGAUGGUCAUAAACCCGCAAACUCAUUUAAAGGGGUUUCCUUAUGUCACAAUCAGGAUUUUUGAGCCUUGUAACUACAACACUUAAGUCAAAUUAUGAAUUAAAAACAUAAGAGCAUGUAUGAUGCUUACUCUAUGACAACAAAAUUUCAAUCAAACACCCCAUGCACACAAUUCAAAUAGUCGUUAAACAAUUGGAAACCCUAGAAGUUCUUGUUUAAGUCCAUUUUUGGACUAGGACUUCUUUAUUGGGCCCAAAGGACCAAUAAGCUUCCAAUUUGGCUAUCUUGGGCUUAGAACUCUUAAAUGGGCUCUAAUUGGACCCAUUUCCAUUUAAUUCAAUAUUUUGGGCCAUAUUGGGCCUAGAAUGAAAUAGAUUAAUUAUAUGAACCAUUUUGGACCAUAAUUAACCUAAUCUAGCCUAAUAAAGCAUAAAAAUCACAUUUAUAUUUUUAUAGGGCCAAAAAUCAUCCAACCUAACUAUAACAUGGGCUUAAGGGCAAAAAGCCCAAAAACCGCCUCUCACCCUCCCCAUUCUCGGCCCAAGCCCAAGAGAAAAAGGAGUUGACUUUGUGAGUGACACCUCACAAUUAUUCAUGGGACAUCCAUGCAUGAGAACUCAAACAUCCAUGCACUCACAUACUUCCAAGCUUAGCCACUCUUUUUCUCCUUCUCUCUAUCUUGCUCUCGGCUGAGUUCAAGCACACACACACACACACACAUUUCACUCACUUUUCUCUCAAGAAAACUCCCUCAUAUCUCCUCCAUAUUUUCGAAAUCUAAGAAGGAUUCAAGGGGAUUCUUACACAAAUACUUCAUCUAAGGUAAGAUAAAGUUUGGAUCUAUGAUAUAGGUUCUUUGUUUCAUCAAAAUCUCCUUCUAAUCCAUGUAAAAAUCAUGCUCACUCUCUUAGAGACCCUCUAAGUUCGAGAUCUUCCAAGGAGGGGUACUAAGGCCGAAUUUUCUUCUCAUUUUCUUCCAAAAACCGAAACCACACCCAAAGGUGAGCUUCAUACCCCUUAUUUUUCUGUUUUUAUAAGUUUUUGUGGGGGAGAAUACAAGCAAAUGUGUAGAUCUAUGAGUUCAUGUAUGUCUUGUGUGAUUUUAUGCAUGUAUGUAUGGUUUUUAUGUGUUAUGUGAUGAUUAUGUUAGCUAAAAAUACCUAAAAACCGAGAUAUACAAUAUGAAGAAUUAAAUAAACAUAGCUUAUACCAUUCUACACUAAUCAAGUCAAUAAAAAUGAUUUACUUAGUUAAGAUGAACAUUUUUGGACACAAAACCCAUUUUGGGCUCAAAAUGUCAAAAAUACAAAACUAAGGGGGGCCAAAACGACAAAACAUAAUUACUGGAGGUUGAAACAAGUCCAAACAGUUUUUAAGAUAAUUUUUCUGAAUAACAACAUUUUGUAGGGGCUUAAAAUGUGAAUUUUAAACCUAAUGGGCUAAAAAAUGGGCUUUUCGGCCCAAUAAGCCCCAAAUUGCGAAAAAUUGGAAAUAGAGGGGCUGAAACUGCACAUUCCUAAAAAACAGGGGAUUAAUAGCAUAAUAAAACUAUUUCAAGGGUCAAAAAUAUUUUCAAAUUAAAAAGGGACUAAAAAUGCAAAAAUUUUCCAUUUUGGGCCAAAAUUGUAAAAGUUGCGAAAAUGGGGGUUUCAACCGAGAAAAUUUCAUUUUUGAGGGACUUAAGUUGUUUAUUAAGUAAACUUGGGCUGAAAAUGUCUUUUCAACAAGUUUUGGUACUAAAGUGUCAAGAAAAAUGGUUUAAGGACUAAAAUGGAAAUUCUUUCAUAUAAAGGGCUAAAAGUAUAAAUUUUAUCCAAGUAGGGGAAACAAAAAGAAAAACUCUAAUUUUUAAAACAAUAAAUCCCUUAAGGUAAAAAUUCGAGUACCACGGCUACCGGUGAAACGUAAUAGCAAAUACACCUUCAACACCCAAAAAUCGUUACCAAACGAAUUGAUUCGGUCUCGAAUCAAUAACAAAUCAAAAAUCAAUAAACAACGAUACUUCAAUACACACGUGGAAAUUUACGAGAAGUCAAUACACCAUCUUUGGGCCCGAAAGUUUCAAAUUGUGCUUGUUGGGCCUAGCUAGCCCAAUGACAUGAUCUUUAGGCCCGAAGGAAACGCGCUUACAUGUUGUUGGGCCUUAUAUGACCUAAUUCCGUGUAAAAGGACUUUCAAUAGCUUUUGUGCUGUUGGGCCCCAAGGGUCCUUCGGUACUGCUAGCAAAUUCGAGAAGUCAAAUGUGAGUCGGGCCAAGGGCCUUUUGCAUUCACGAUAGCCUUGAACGACUUAUGGAAAUAACGGGGGAUUCACACCCUCUUUUCUCCUCGGUUGUGGGGUUAUGAGAAGUCAGGGUGGUUGGAUUAAGUAAGUAGUACGGACGACGCCUAAGGGAUCGUUUGUAAACUAGUCAUUUUUAAUAAUGCGUGCUUAUAACGACUCACAACCCAUAAUUAAUCAAAUGUGACCUGGAACUAUAGAAUACAACGUCGUAUCGGAAUAAUACUAACUAAGCCACAUAAUUUGAGGUAUUAGGAAAACAUCGGGUUUUCCUAGGGAAUUCAACACUUUCACCUAUGCGAUUUAUUCAAAGUCUAACAAUUAUUCACAUUUACAGAAAUCAACAAGCAUACUUACGGCUCUUCACACUUUUUCUUACUUACAAUAAUCUUUUCAGAAAAUAUCGGAUUUUCUGGUGGUUUUCAAAAUAAUACAAAUCAUUACUUUACAAACAUUAUUUAUGAACUCACCAACAUUUCAUAUGUUGACGUUUUUCCAAAAUACUUGUAUUCUCAGGUAACAGGUAAAUCGAAGAAAAUGUAUCCAGUGAUAUCACGAUGUUUUGUGUAAUUAGAUGCAAUCCUUGGGACUUAUAACACUUACAUAAGGUGUUUAGCAUGUCCUAGAUCGCCUCUACAGCGAAAGUUCUUCAUCGAGCUCUGCUGAGGCGUGACUUUAUUUUGAAUCAUAAGCAUACAUUUGAUUAUAUUAUGUGUUCGUUCUUUUACUGUUCUUGACUUGUUUGAUUUCAAUAUUCAUACCUGUGAAAGAUCUAAUCGAUCUAGAAUUUUAUUCUCAUCAAUUGGUAUCAGAGCAGGAGAUUGUGUAAUUCAUACACAUCUCUUCUGUUGAAGAAGUUAUUAGGGUUUUUAAUUCCGCAUUGAUUGAUAUUUAUUGAGCCGCCACUCUAUAUUGACAUAUCUCAUUAAUUGUUGAUCUAACCCUAAUGAUAUAUUACAAGUCUAAUCUUUUACAGGUUAUUGAUCAAAAGUCUUUACAAUGUCAAUGGAUGAUUCACAAACCAAUCCGAUCAAUAUCUCCAACAGCAUAGUGUCACACCCCGGUCGUCGGCGGAAACACCGGGUAGUGUAACGUCAUUUUUCGUAUCACAUUUCAUUGAACAAUACUUAAAGAACAUACCUUUAUUGAUGAUUGAAAGUUACAUUAUUGUUUUUCCUAGUAUUUAUUACAUAAUAUCUGACUAUGACAUGCUUCUUAAAGAAUAGAAAGAUACUAGUAAAACUUCUCCUGUUCGAAUACAUACCCGCUUUUCAAGUUCCUGAAAACACAUGCAUUUUAAAAUACGUCAACAUAAAGUUGGUGAGUCCACAGGUUUUGACUCCAUAAAAUAAUACAUUUUUACACAUUCAAAAGUAUAGUUUUGAAAGUAUCAUUUUGACUCUCCAACAUUAGGUAUAAUUGUAUACUUAUCAAUUAAGUGUUAUACCUAAACAUUUCUUAAUCUUAAGGUAUAAGUAGGGGGAAACUUAUACUUAACAUUAAUACUUGUAUACAACAAGGUAUAAUGUUUCUAACAAUGUGCUACCAUGAGCCUGUUACCGCUGCUAUGAUAGAACGUCUUCUGUCGGGAUCAAGAACUCACUCUGGUAGUUCUCGUCGCCGAUAGAUUCUCAUCAACUUCUCUCUUUUGGAUAUAACCUAGUUAUGUAAAACUCUGGUCUUAUUCCCUAUCUUUGUAAAUCAUAGGCCUGUUAGGUCUUGGUUAGGUUGUACUUCUGUCAAAAUUUUCCCAUCUUGGUUUAUGUAAGGCCUCCUUCUAUUGGUCGUUUUUCCCGAACUUUUUACAUCUAUAAUUCCAGUAUUAUUGACUGGUACUUAAUCUCAUGGGAAUUAUUAUCCAAAUGUGAUCAUCUAUUAGUUCGAGAUCUACAUUUAAUCAUAUUGUUGGGCUAUGAAGAGUUAGUCCAUGAGUCAUUCUCAUCAAUUCUUCCAUUAAAUUCUUAUCAAUGUUUUCGUCUUCAUAAACUUAUAGAUCAAAGAUGCCGCCUCGCAGGAAUCCAAGUCGUAACCCUAAUAACGAAACAUCGAUACCACCACCUCAACCACCUACUCCUCAGUUCGACACGACAGCCCUAAAUGUUGUUGUAGCUGCAGUUAUGGCUACAGCCACGGCUCAAUAUCAUUCAUCUGGCUCUACUGGAAGAGGAACCCCUGUCCUGUCUACUCAUGGUGAAAUCUCGGUGCGCUUGAAAGAGUGCUCCUACAAGGAGUUCACCAACUGCAAGCCAUUGUCCUUCAAAGGGACUGGCGGAGUCAUUGCGCUCUCGCAAUGGUUCGAGAAAAGCGAAUUAGUUUUCGAAAUCGACUCCUGUCCGGAGGAGAGCAAGAUCAAGUUUGCUGCUUGCACCUUUGAAACAAAAGCCCUAACAUGGUGGAAUAGCCAUGUUAAGUCGCUAUCUCUCAUAGUGGCAAAUUCUAUGGGCUGGGAAACUUUGAAAGACCUCAUGAUUGAGGAGUAGUGCCCGAGGGGCGAGAUCCAGAAGCUAGAGGAAGAACUGUGGAGCCUAACCAUGAAGGGCUCCAACAUAGUCGCCUACACCACCAGGUUCUGUGAACUGGUGGCCCUCUGUCCCAACAUGGUUCAUACAGAGGGAAAGAAGAUCGAGAGGUAUAUAUGGGGGCUGAUGCCACCAUACCAGGGAAAUGUAUUGGCAUCACACCCCACUACAUUUGAUAGUGCCAAACGAUUGGUACAACGGCUCAUAGACCAUGGGGUUCGUACCUCGGCCACAACAAAAAACCUGGCCAUCUCAGAACCUUCCAAAACCGCUGACCCUAAGCGGAAGUUCUGGGAGGACAACAAGAAGGCAAAGGCUGCCAAGAAGCAGCAGGUCGUGGCAAUUCAUGCUGCGAUAGCACCUGCCACUGCUGCUCCGGUAAAGCAGUACGCUGGAAGUUUGCCGAAGUGCAACAAAUGUAAGUUCCAUCACGUUGGUGCCUGCCGGGAAAUACAGUGUUUGAACUGCAACGGGAAGGGGCACACUGCUCGUUUCUGUAAAGCUCCGGCGAAGCCAAACAACCAAUUCUCUGGUGCUGGAGUGGGCCAAACUUGCUACGAAUGUGGCGAGGUAGGCCACUUCAAAAGGAACUGCCCGAAGGCAGGGUUUGUCGGUGGAGCGGAAAGAGUUCUGGCCAUAGUCCAUGAGGAAGCGGUUGCCGACCCCACAGUGGUCACUGGUACGUUCCUCCUCGANAUUCAUGCAUCUAUUUGAUAGUGGAGCGGAGAGGAGUUUCGUGAACCAAAAAUUUGCUCAUUUACUUAAGCAAAAAUCACGAGCACUUAAUGAACCGCUCCCUGUAGAAAUGGCUAAUGGAAAGACAGAGAGCACCAACAGCAUAUUCAUAGGUUGUACCCUAACUUUAGAUAGCCAUUCUGUAACAACCGAAAAUUUCCAACCAAUUUAAACUUUUCAAAAACAACCCAUUUUCAUUAAAUGAUUACAAAAAGGUUUUCAAUACAAUUUAUUUAGAGUAUUCCCAGAAUCACAUCACAACAUAAACAUGAGAAGCGGUACGAUCACGCCUUCGCCUUGCCACGAUCUCCUGAAGAGCCUGAAAAACAUUAAACCACAACUGUAAGCCCGAAAGCUUAGUGAGAUAUCCCCAAAAUACCAACCACAUAUACCAUACACACAUCACAUGCAAUAACACAUCCGAUCACAAAACAGCCAUGCACUUCGGGUCUACUGUGUGACUGGUCCGUCGCACCGGCCAACAGUCCACCUGGUCCACCCUCCGAGUCUAGCCAUAUACAUCGAGUCUCUAGUGUGAUUGGUCCGCCCGCACCGGGCCUUCAAUCCACCUGGUCCACUCUCUGAGUCUACAGUAUGACUGGUCCGCCUGCACCGGGCCUUCAGUCGGCCUGGUCCACUCUCCGAGCCUCGGCACGUCUGGUCCGCCCUCUUGGGGCCUACAGCCUAUCCGGACCGCUCGCUGGGCCUUCGGGACAACCGGUCCGCCCUGGGUAUCUUGGCCUACAGCACAAAGCAGGAUCCGCCUCAACCCAACUCCAGUCCAAACAACCAUGUGCACAUAAACAUAAUAUCAUAUAAUAAUUCACAGUCAACAAACUGAUCAACAGAUCACAUAGCAUAUCAUCAUCCUAACCAGGAUACCAACCUAACCGGUCACUAGCAUAGCAUCACCCUACAUAACAGGAUACCGACCUUAACCAGGUCUCUAACACAUACCAUCCUAACUACCAGGAUGCAAACAUAUCAAAGCAAUAACAUAACAACAAAUACCCGGAUCUCAAUCCGAUAAAGGGCCGGCCUUGGUGCCUUAGACCCUGUUGAUAUAGUGAGGAUAACUCACCUCGAAACUGCCGACUGAACAGAUAACCCAAGCUGCUCCGAUCACUGAUACGAUCUCCACCACUGGACAACCACCAAGGCACUGAACUCAAAACAAUAUCCAACAAUUACCAAAAUGCCCCUGGACUCAACUGGUCAACCCUUGGUCAAAGUGAAAGUCAACCCCUGACUGAAUCUACUCGCCGAGUCAACCCGAUGACUCACCGAGUGCCCUAUGCACAGCACUUCCCCAAUCCGCGACUCAACUCGCCGAGUCACCCCGAGACUCGCCGAGUCCGCAAAUUUGAGUCCUUUCACACUCGACUCACCGAUUCAUCCCUCGACUCACCGAUUCACAGCUCAACCAAAAGAAAGGUUAGGACCUCACGACCAGAUUCACCGAGUCCAAGAACAGACUCGCCGAGUCCAAGGUUAUCUGCAUCCAACUCGCCGAUUUGUUCUUCCAACUCGCCGAGCUCCUGCCCAUAUUCAACCAACUCGUCGAGUUCCAGCCUAACUUCAAGCAACUCGCCGAGUACACCCUUGUGGCUCGCCGAGUACCCCUAGAUCUGAAACCACACAGAGGUUUUCCGAGCCAUGCAGAAGCUCUAUAUCAUAGAUCUACUCUUUUACAAACCAUCCAUCAUGUAAAGUGGCAAACUUUACGUGAAUCCAAAGAGAUCUAGGAAUUUACACUCUAGGGCUAGGGUUUGGGACAAGGUAAAUUCACCAAUCACUCAUCAACAGGGACUUUAUGACAUAUAAGACCAUGCCAAGCUUAGAUCUGAAUUAGCAUCCUCAGAUCCAAGCUUCUAUCUCAAUUUAGAUGUCAUAUCAACCACCACACAUGAACCCAUGAAGAAAAUAGCUUAAGGAAAUGGUUCCUUACCCCUAGAAUGAGCCCAACCAACUGAAGAUGCCUGAUCUCCCUAAGCUUCCUGAUACAAGCCUCCAAUCUUCAAGCUUAAAGCACCAAAUAUCCUUCUCCAAGCUCUAAUUCACUCAACAAUGGGGUCUCCUCACGAAUUUAGGGCUUCUGGGACUCAAGGAAUGAUAAGGAGGCUGGGGAGAAGAUAUGAUGUUCUUUAUAUAGGGAUCAACCCUCGAAAUUAGGGUUUUCUCCACUCAGCACCAACUCGCCGAGUCCACCCAUGCUACUCGCCGAGUUGGUCACUUAACACGCGACUAGAGUUGCGACCCUACUCGCCGAGUCCACUCGUGGACUCGCCGAGUUGCCCUUUCCCAUUUACUCUUUUACCCCUUCAACUCUACUCUUGACAUUACGGGAUGUUACAAUUCUCCCCCACUUACAUUAGGCUUCGUCCUCGAAGCCUGCGACAAUUCAUCUCCAGAACUACUCCCGUAAUGCACCACCUGGCAUUAACCAGACCAGGCUCCUUAACGCACAACCUUUGAAACCCGAAACCCAACUCUUCCUCUGUGGUGUCCUGACCACCGCCUCAAGCUGGCCACCGGCUUCACCUUCUGAUGACCCCACUUAACAACUGAGUACUACCCAUGAUGCAACACUGCUCCAAAUCACAACCAUCACUCGACCCAUAUGAGCUAUAAAUAACCAUGCACCACCGAAUUCCCGAUCCGAGUCCAACUCUAUCCAUCCCAUGCUGACAGAAAGACACAUUCUUCAUAGUAAUUCCCAUUAGUUCUCCCCCUUGCAAUCACAUGCACAUACUAAACUAGCUCUAACACCCUCGGGUUAGGAAAAUCCGCCACACUGACGACACCUCCAAACAUCCCCCAGGAUGAACCACUACUACAUACACAAUUCCUUGAUCAGAAUCGAACUGGGAGUCCAAGACUCCAUCCCUGCAUCCCUUUCGAGCCUGUCGGCUCUACACCCGCGGAAUUCCUUCCGCGACCUCAGCAAACAUCCCAUCCGGAUGUGGUCCCCUACCACUGCCGCAAUCACGCUGUUCAAUGACCAUAAUUGGACCACUCCAAUCAUAACUCUGCGAUGCUGCUUCACUUCCGUGAAUUUUCACUCCCUCUUGGAACUACAUUCCUUUCUCUUUCCUUACCAAGGAAAUCCACUUGGCCGCCUUGUCACUACGACAAGUGCCACGGUGCUCGCCCAACGCUACACCACUCCCUUAUAGCAUAACCACUAUCCAUGCAACACACAUGCUUUGAAUUUGCUCGCAAGGACUCUCGAGCCCAUGCACCAUCUCCAUUAAUCAAGAUCAAUACCUGGGGCCAGACCUUCUAAUGCUAACACAACGCAACAUAUUCAAUCCACUUCCUCGAACCGAUCUAACAAUACCCGUAGAGUCUUCAGCAUGACUGGACCGCCUUACCAGGCCUUCAGCCAAUCUGGACCACUCUCAGAACCGUCACCCAAUCUGGACCGCCCUCCAGGGCCUUCAGUCUGGCUGGACCGUUCUCCGAGCCUUCGGCCUAACUGGUAUGCCUACCGGCCUUCAGUCUAUCCGGACCACUCAACUAGCAUUCAUCAUUCCGAGUUACCUCUCCGGGAAAUCCUCCCAUGCAUACUGUUCUAGCCCUCAAAGGGUUCCGAACUCUAUCUCCAUCAUACAUACUCAAUCCCGGCCUAAUCCCAGGCCCUCCACAAUCACAUACCCUAGGUUUGUAUCCCGCCCCGCAUGCCUGCCAGUUACUCAUACCGGCCUAUAGUCUUGACUGACAGAAUCACUGCUGAAUCCCAAGCAGUUAAACAACCUCUCAUGUCCAUCGAUCUUCCGGAGAAUUACCAAUUCUCCCCCACUUAGGGCACUGACUAUCAACCACCGGUCGCUACCACCGACCUCCCAAAACAACUCUGCAUAAAACCAACAAUUACACGCGGACUGAUUUCCACUCGCACUAGCAACCUUCACGAAAAUCCCAUUUCCACACUGAUCAUCCCGCUCAAAAGGAACUCAAUCUUCAGCUAACCACUCCUCAGACCGCAGAUGUUACCCGGCAUUCAGACUAAUGCCAAAUUUCCACUAAUAACCCUCAAGAAUGAUAUCCAACGAAAUUCCAAACACUAACCCAUAACCAUACUAUACCCUCAAGGAACAACGGAUACCAUACCGAAAACCACACAAUGAGACCAACAGAUAAACAAUACUCCACAAUAAUCAUAAAAUGACAAUACAUCGAAAAAGAACAUACCCGCAGCUACAUCCGGCACUGCCCUGACCUCCUCUGCUACAAGCUGAAAAGCACGACCCUGAGCCCUUGGGGGCUCCGCUCCACCCUGACCUCUACCAUGAUCCUCAAAGUGGUCGGCGCUGGAGCCUGCACCGGUCCUGCAGCAAGCUGCGGACAGUUGGCCCUCAAGUGCCCAACCUGAUGACAAUGAUAACAAAUCCUCAAAUCCCGAACCGGCGCUGACUGCCGAUAAUCCCUCACAUAGUGCCCCUCCUUCCCGUACUUACGACAUGCACCAUCGGACCUACAGACUCUGGUGUGACCCCUCCCACACUUCCCACAAGAGUGGCUGCUCUGAUCUCCCACCCUAGAAUCAACGGUCUUGGACCGUUUCGGCGCCGGCUGCGACUGCACCGCAGCCUGCCUCAGCUCACACAACUGCAACUCAAUCUCUAACUCACGCCGCCUGGCGGCCUCCUGCAACUCCAACAAAGUCUCGCACCUCUGCGUAGACACAAACUGUCUGAUAUCCCUCUUGAGCAUGCUCAGAUAUCGAGACAUCUGAGCUUGCUCCGAAGCGAACUCAAGGCAGAACAUCGCCCUCUCAGUGAACAUCCUGGUGAUCUCAGUCACCAACUCUGAACCCUACUUCAGCUCCAGGAACUCCUGAGCCAAUCUCUCUCUUGACCUGCGGAACAUAACGAGUGCUAAACAUCUCUCUGAAUUGAUCCCAUGAAACCGCAGCCCUUUGCGCAUCCGAAUACGACCCCGUGGUCAAUCUCCACCAAUCCUUCGCCCCGAGCCUCAACAGGUUCAGAGCACAUCUCACCCUCUGAUCAGCAGGGCAUGAACACGUGAAGAAACACCCUUCCACGUCCGAUAACCAUCUCAUAGCAACAAUCGGGUCCUGAACUCCAUCAAAGGUGGGAGGCUUUGUAUUAUUGAAGUCCCGAUGCUGAAAACCCCGACCAACUCCUCCCCCUGCCGCUGCUACAGCCGCUGUAGCUGCCGCGACAGCCGUUUCUGUGAGAGCUGCAUGGCGGUCAUCAAAAUACUCAACCAUGGCGGUCUUGAUCGACCCAAACAGUUCCGGCAACUCAGCCCAGAACAACGCAACAACCUCAUCAUGCAGGAUCUCACGAAUCCUCGCAUCCAACUCGCAUGAGCUCAUCUAACCAAUAACCUCGGGCGGUACUGACCCGCCCGGAACUCCUUCUCCUACUCCCGAUCCUGACCCAGAUCCACUCCCAGCAUGCCUCGAAAUCUCCAUACUGAAAAACACCACAAAAUCUGACACUUCCCACAACCCGGGAACCAACUCUCAACCCAACCCUAGAGGUCAUGGUUUCCCUGAUACGCGUAUGGGUCCUGUGCUUUCAGUAGUACGGGCCCAUACUACCUUCCACACCUACCCAUAUUUGUAUGAAGUACUACCACAACACCCUAGAGAAACACAUACAAAACAAGCGCUCAACCCUCACUACUAGAGGAACACUGGAAAUCUCNNNNNNNNNNNNNNNNNNNNNNNNNNNNNNNNNNNNNNNNNNNNNNNNNNNNNNNNNNNNNNNNNNNNNNNNNNNNNNNNNNNNNNNNNNNNNNNNNNNNNNNNNNNNNNNNNNNNNNNNNNNNNNNNNNNNNNNNNNNNNNNNNNNNNNNNNNNNNNNNNNNNNNNNNNNNNNNNNNNNNNNNNNNNNNNNNNNNNNNNNNNNNNNNNNNNNNNNNNNNNNNNNNNNNNNNNNNNNNNNNNNNNNNNNNNNNNNNNNNNNNNNNNNNNNNNNNNNNNNNNNNNNNNNNNNNNNNNNNNNNNNNNNNNNNNNNNNNNNNNNNNNNNNNNNNNNNNNNNNNNNNNNNNNNNNNNNNNNNNNNNNNNNNNNNNNNNNNNNNNNNNNNNNNNNNNNNNNNNNNNNNNNNNNNNNNNNNNNNNNNNNNNNNNNNNNNNNNNNNNNNNNNNNNNNNNNNNNNNNNNNNNNNNNNNNNNNNNNNNNNNNNNNNNNNNNNNNNNNNNNNNNNNNNNNNNNNNNNNNNNNNNNNNNNNNNNNNNNNNNNNNNNNNNNNNNNNNNNNNNNNNNNNNNNNNNNNNNNNNNNNNNNNNNNNNNNNNNNNNNNNNNNNNNNNNNNNNNNNNNNNNNNNNNNNNNNNNNNNNNNNNNNNNNNNNNNNNNNNNNNNNNNNNNNNNNNNNNNNNNNNNNNNNNNNNNNNNNNNNNNNNNNNNNNNNNNNNNNNNNNNNNNNNNNNNNNNNNNNNNNNNNNNNNNNNNNNNNNNNNNNNNNNNNNNNNNNCUCUUCGAGCCUCGGCAUGUCUUGUCUGCCCUCUUGGGGCCUACAGCCUAUCCGGACCGCUCGUCGGGCCUUCGGGACAACCGGUCUGCCCUGGGUAUCUUGGCCUACAACACAAAGCAGGACCCGCCUCAACCCAACUCCAGUCCAAACAACCAUGUGCACAUAAACAUACUAUCAUAUAAUAAUUCACAGUCAACAAACCGAUCAACAGAUCACAUAGCAUAUCAUCAUCCUAACCAGGAUACCAACCUAACCGGUCACUAGCAUAGCAUCACCCUACAUAACAGGAUACCGACCUUAACCAGGUCUCUAACACAUACCAUCCUAACUACCAGGAUGCAAACAUAUCAAAGCAAUAACAUAACAACAAACACCCGGAUCUCGAUCCGAUAAAGGGUCGGCCUUGGUGCCUUAGACCCUGUUGAUAUAGUGAGGAUAACUCACCUCGCAACUGCCGGCUGAAAAGAUAAACCUGAGUUGCUCCGACCACUGAUAAGAUCUCCACCACUCGCCAACCACCAAAACACUGAACUUAAAACAAUAUCCAACAAUUACCAAAAUUCCCCUGGACUCAACUGGUCAACCCUUGGUCAAAGUCAAAGUCAACCCCUGACUGACUCUACUCACCGAGUCAACCCGAUGACUCGCCGAGUCCCCUAUGCACAACACUUCCCCAAUCCGCGACUCAACUCGCCGAGUCACCCCGAGACUCGCCGAGUCCGCAAAUCUGAGUCCUUUCACACUCGACUCACCGAUUCACAGCUCAACCAGAAGAAAGGUUAGGACCUCACGACCAGACUCGCCGAGUCCAAGGCUAUCUGCAACCAACUCGCUGAGUUGUUCUUCCAACUCGCCGAGUUCCUGCCCAUAUUCAACCAACUCACCGAGUUGUUCUUCCAAUUCGCCGAGUUCCAGCCUAACUUCAAGCAACUCGCCGAGUACACCCUUGUGACUCGCCGAGUACCCCUAGAUCUGAAACCACACAGAGGCUUUCCAAGCCAUGUAGAAGCUCUAAAUCAUAGAUCUACUCUUUUACAAGCCAUCCAUCACGUAAAGUGGCAAACUUUACGUGAAUCCAAAGAGAUCUAGGCAUUUACACUCUAGGGCUAGGGUUUGGGACAAGGUAGCUUCACCAAUCACUCAUCAACAGGGACUUUAUGACAUAUAAGACCAUCCCAAGAUUAGAUCUGAAGUAGCAUCCUCAGAUCCAAGCUUCUAUCUUAAUUUAGAUGUCAUAUCAACCACCACACAUGAACCCAUGAAGAAAAUAGCUUAAGGAAAUGGUUCCUUACCCCUAGAAUGAGCCCAACCAACUGAGGAUUCCUAAUCUCCCCAAGCUUCCUGAUACAAGCCUCCAAUCUUCAAGCUUAAAGCACCAAAUAUCCUUCUCCAAGCUCUAAUUCACUCAACAAUGGGGUCUCCUCACGAAUUUAGGGCUUCUGGGACUCAUGGAAUGAUAAGGAGGCUGGGGAAAAGAUAUGAUGUUCUUUAUAUAGGGCUCAACCCUCGAAAUUAGGGUUUUCUCCACUCAGCACCAACUCGCCGAGUCCACCCAUGCUACUCGCCGAGUUGGUCACUUAACACACGACUAGAGUCGCGACCCUACUCGCCGAGUCCACUCGUGGACUCGCCGAGUUGCCCUUUCCCAAAUACACUUUUAUCCCUUCAACUCUACUCUUGAUAUUCCNGAUGUUACACAUUCAUUUUCGAUUGAUCUCAUGCCGGUCUCAAUUAAAAGUUUCGACGUCAUUAUCGGUAUGGAUUGGUUGAGUUUACAUCGUGUCGAUAUCAUGUGUUACGAAAGGCUGUUCGCCUUAAUCUAUUGUCUGGCGAAACCCUAGUACUUUAAGGCGACAAACCCGACACGAACCUUCGUAUGAUCUCGAGCAUUCAAGCUCAGAAAUUCUUGCGAAAGGAAUGUUGAGCAUUCCUUGCUCAUGUAGUCGAUGUGAGCCAAGAAACUAAGGACAUUCUGAACAUUCCUGUAGUACGCGACUUUCCCGACGUCUUUCCAGAAGAACUCCCAGGAUUACCUCUGCAACGUCAAGUCGAGUUCCGAAUCGACUUAGUUCUAGGGGCUACCCCUGUAGCCAAAUUGCCCUAUCGUCUAUCACCUGCAGAGAUGCAAAAGUUGUCCUGCCAACUUAACGAACUGCUCAGUAAGGGCUUUAUAAGACCAAGCUUCUCACCCUGGGGAGCUCCAGUCUUGUUCGUCAAGAAGAAAGACGGAUCGUUUCGUAUGUGGAUCGACUACAGGGAGCUCAACAAACUGACCGUCAAAAAUCGUUAUCCUUUGCCUCGUAUUGACGAUUUAUUUGACCAACUUCAAGGGACGAACUUCUUUUCAAAAAUCGACUUAAGAUCCGGAUAUCACCAACUACGAGUGUUAGGGGAGGAUGUUCCAAAGACAGCCUUCCGAACUUGUUAUGGGCACUACAAAUUUGUAGUGAUGCCAUUCGGAUGUGUCGGGUGUGUCGUCCUUACCUGGAUCAGUUCAUCAUCGUCUUCAUCGAUGACAUACUUAUCUACUCUCGUAGUAAGGAGGAGCAUAGUCAACAUCUGCGUCAAGUCCUAGAAACAUUACAUUCGGAGAAGCUCUACGCGAAGUUCUCGAAAUGCGAAUUUUGGAUCCGACGAGUCAUAUUCUUAGGGCACGUGGUUAGCGAAGAGGGAAUUCACGUGGACCCUUCCAAAAUCAAAUCCAUUGAGAACUGGUCAGCACCGAAGACGCCUAUAGAAAUUCAUCAAUUUCUAGGCCUUGCUGGCUACUAUCGCAGGUUCAUUCAGAACUUCUCCCGCAUUGUGAAACCUUUUACAACACUGACCUAGAAGGGCGUGGCCUUUGACUGGGAAGAGAAGCAGGAAAGAGCGUUUUAAACGCUCAAAUGAGCCUUGUGCACCUCACCAAUACUAUCCCUCCUCGAAGGGAUAGAAGACUUCGUUGUCUAUUGUGAUGCAUCGAAUCAAGGACUCGGAUGUGUUCUGAUGCAGCGAGGUAAGGUCAUCACCUAUGCCUCGAGACAGCUAAAGACACAUGAGGUCAACUACACGACCCACGAUCUUGAGCUGGGAGCAGUUGUGUUUGCUCUGAAGAUUUGGUGACACUACCUGUACGGUACAAAAAACACUAUCUUUACAGACCACAAAAGCCUACAACACAUAUUCGACCAGAAGGAGCUCAACAUAAGACAACGACAGUGGGUCGAGCUACUCAGUGAUUACGAAUGCGAAAUUCGUUAUCAUCCGAGUAAAGCCAAUGUAGUAGCUGACGCCCUAAGUCGGAAAGAAUAUUCUGGUCGUAGAGUCAAAUCAUUGACUAUGACUAUCCAUUCACACUCUUCCACACAAAUUAAGGCGGCUCAGCUCGACACUUUGAAGCCUGAAAAUGUGGCGGGUGAGUCCCUGAGGGGGAUGGAUAAGAACUUGAAGGUUAAGGGUGGCAGAGCUUAUUAUUUCAUGGACUAGAUCUGGACCCCGAAACUCGGUGGUUUCAGAGACUUGGUCAUGAACGAGGCGCACAACACUCGUUAUUCCGUGCACCCGGGUUCAGAUAAGAUGUAUCUGGAUCUUAAAAAGUUAUACUGGUGGCCUAACAUGAAAGCAGAAAUUGCUACUUUCGUGAGUAAAUACCUUACUUGCGCAAAGGUCAAGGUCGAAUACCAGAAACCUUCCGGUCUACUACAACAACCUGAAAUACCGGAAUGGAAGUGGGAGUGGAUCACUAUGGAUUUCAUAACCAAGUUACCCAAGACAACGGGUGGACUUGAUACCAUAUGGGUCAUCGUCGACAGAUUGACCAAGUCUGCACACUUCCUGCCUAUCAAGGAAACACACAAGAUGGAGAAACUUACAAGAACUUACACUAGAGAGAUUGUACGACUGCACGGUGUUCCCUUAUCCAUUAUCUCAGACAGAGAUAGUAGAUUCACUUCGAGGUUCUAGCAGUCAUUACAAAGUUCCUUACGAACUAGGCAGGACAUGAGUACAGCCUACCAUCCACAGACCGAAGGGCAAAGUGAGCGAACUAUCCAAACCUUGGAAGAUAUGUUGCGAGGAUGUGUGAUCGACUUUGGGAAAGCAUGGGAUACUCAUUUACCCCUGGUCGAAUUUUCCUACAACAACAGUUAUCACACGAGCAUAAAGGCUACUCCAUUCGAGGCCCUCUAUGGCCGAAAGUGCAUAUCCCCUCUGUGGUGGGCUGAGGUGGGUGAUACCCAGUUAGCAAAAGGAAGAGUUCCUGACAGCAUUCUCACAGGUCCGUAGAUCAUACAGGAAAUGAUAGAGAAGAUCGUUCAGAUUCGUGAACAAUUAAAAGCCUCUAGAGACCGACAGAAAAGCUACGCUGAUAAGCGAAGGAAACCGUUGAAAUUCCAGGUGGGCGACCGCGUUCUGUAACGCCUGUGUUUCUGGACCUGUCAUUAAUGUUGAUAUAAUAGUCUAGGUUAACCUUUGUAACCCGUUUUGAAAUAAUAGAAGUAUAUUAUUUGAGUAUUAUGUGUUUUGUGCUUAAUUCCUUAAUUAUGUGGUUUGAUUAAUUAAGAAUACAAAUAAGCGUCAAAAUUUAAGUGUAAAAUUAACUCGUUAUCUUUGGAUAAAGUUGUAGUAGUUAAAACGAGGUUUCCGAAUAUAUAUAAAGAACGCCCAAAUCUGACUUCGUAUGAGGAAGUUAUGAUUUUCUGAAGUUUCGACUUAGCAAUAUGCAGCCCGAAAUACUCGAUUUGAGAUCCAGCGGUUUUUAGCCGAAACAAUAUAAACGGGAAUCGAAUAUCUCGUUGUUGGUAUCGAAGCGAUGAAAAGUUAGGUGAGAACGGACGUCAAAUAAAGAAGUUAUGAAUUUAUAACGAAGUUUUUCUAUCCCGGCCUUCUAAAAAUAUAUAAUAAAAAUAACGUCAAAAUUAGCCGACGGAGUCUAAAGGAAAGUUGUAGAGCGUAGUCUCACCUACGCGUUGAUAUAUAGAACGUCGAAAACGGAGUUCGUAUGAAGAAGAUAUGAAUUUCCGAAGUUUAUUAAAUAAUUAAUAUUUAAAUUUAAUUAUAAAAUCCGGUAUUAUCCGAAGGGGAGUCAUCGGACUCAUCUGAAGUACGCCCAGCGUACAGCGAAGCGUGACGUCCCUCGCACUCGAGUUCUUCGGAUGACGCAUGCCAUGACGAUUCGGAUGCGUACGCCCCGCGUACUUCUGUACGCCCAGCGUACUCCGAGGCUCCAGCCUCCUAUAAAUAGGAUGCGAGGGCAGCCGAGUUCUUUUGCUUUUUUCUCUCUUCUCUCUCCCGUUUUGCAUCGAUUUGCGUGCCAGAAAUACCCCGAAGCCCCGGUAUUAUUCUCGAGCCCCGAAGCAAGUCCCGAGAUCCCGAAGAUCCCGAGAAGUGCGAUUCCCGAGCCGAAGCUCUGCCCGCGAGAAGUUCGAUUUUUGUGGAGAUCUUCCAGAUCUGCCGAGGAAUACUACUUCUACAAGCCGUAGUGCUGUCUGAUCAUCUUCUGAUCAAGUGAGUGUAUACUACCUUUCAUAAACACGAUAAUAAUACAAGUAUGGUUUGAGUGUAUUAAGUAUAUUGUUGUUUAUGUGUAUAAUUUUGUUGUUAUAAGUGUGAAUGUAUAUUCAUUCUCUUCUAUCUCAUAGAUCUGAUUUACUUUCUAUGAAAUACGUGUUAUGUGGGUGUGCCUCAUCUGUUAUGUGGAAUAUGUAUUGAAUGAAAAUGAUAUACAGGUUUUAAACUAUGUAUGAAAAUAUAUAUUUUUAUCUACUAAUAUGUUGGGUAGAACAUGGGUAGAUAGUUGGUGUGUAAUAAACAGAUGAGAGGCCUCGAUGUUGUUGUUGUUGUUGAUCUAGUUAUUCAGCGGAGUAUGGAUAACGACCACGGACUCUUUCUAGACAGUCCAGUGGAACGCUAGCAGGUUCAUAACCUGUAGGUGUUGUGAACGAUGUGUUCACCGGUGUACUCUAUCCCCCUCAUGGUUGCCUUUAGGAUAUCUAUUGUUGAGGAAACCCCUUAGCAGUAAUGUCCGUCCCGAUGAAAAUCCUAGAUUAGGUCCCUUGAGAUAGAUGUUGUUUUAGGGACGUAAAGUGAGGAUAACGGGAAUGGGUAAUCGGGAUAGUGAUUGGUUGGUGAAAUUAAAUAUAAUUUAUUUAUUGUGGGUUGAAAACCCUAUAUGCUCACCAGGCUCCCAAGCCUGACCCACUCAGUUUUAUUUGUAUUACAGGAAGUGGCGCAAGGGCGUAAGAUGGAUGAAUCAUCGAGUUGUUUUGUUUACAAGUCUGUUUAUGUAUAUAUUUGUUGAAUGACUUGUAAUGUUAUCGUUUAUGCUUUAUGGUCUGUAUCGGAACAUAACAUCCCGAGUUUUGAUUAUAUAAUGAAAAUGCAUCUCUUGAUGAAAUGCUUUGAUAAAUAUGAUUUUAUCAUGUUUAGUUUUGGAAACAAAUUCCGCAACACUUUUAAAUCAAAAGGAUUUACUCUGAAAUUAUUUUAAAAAGCAUAAAUGAAAUCGGUCUUUUAUGGCUGUGAUUUUGGGGAUGUCACACGUUCUAUUGAAGGUCUCACCCUGGAAGGGCUUGAUACGCUUCAGAAAUCGUGGAAAGCUAAAUCCAAGGUACAUAGGGCCUUUCAAGAUUCUCGAAAGAAUCGACCUUGUAGCUUACAAACUUAACUUACCACGCGAACUCAGUAACGUACAUUCUACCUUCCACGUCUCAAACUUGAAAAAGUGUCUGUCCGACGAGACUCUUGUAAUCCCACUCGACGAGAUCAAGGUCAACGAGAGCCUCAACUUCGUGGAAGAACCAGUAGAGAUCAUGGACCGAGAGGUCAAGCAAAUAAAGAAAAGCUGUAUCCCGAUAGUGAAGGUUCACUGGAACGCCAAGCGAGGACCUGAAUUCACUUGGGAGCGAGAUGAUCAGAUGAAACCGAAAUAUCCUCUUCUUUUUACUUAGUUAUUUGUAACCACUUAUUUACUUAAACUCUAAUUUCGGGACAAAAUUUCUUCUAAGGAGGGGAUGAUGUGACAACCCGAAAUUUCUAUUAUGUACAACAUUUCCAUUCAAUAGAAGUCAGAACAGUUUCGGGAAACUUUCAAGCCUUUUGGAAUAAGUUUGAGUAUUUUAGGAUUAACAACUUAGGAGAUAUCAGGAGAGAGGAUUCCCUAGGGUUUAUUGUGCAAUAAUAAAGUCCCGACACAUCAAAAGUCUAGAGUUUACGGCCUAAACAAGGAGUUUACGGCCGUAAACCCUAAAGGAAAGUGGUAUAAAAGUGACACUUAGUUAUGUACCAUUUUUCCAACUUUCAAGAUCCAAAUCUCAAACUCUCUCAAGUAUCAUCCAAAGAUUUCUUCAAGAUCUUCACCUAGUAAGUGUUUCUAGCCCUUUCAAGAUAGUAUAUCACUUAAUCUAGUGAUUUAACACACUUUUAUCCAUGAAAUCCUUCCAAAAGGUUGAUUCUUCAAGUUUCACCAAGAACACACACUAGUGUUCUUGGACUUUUGGACCUUUUUCAAGCUUCUAUAUUGUAAGUACUUCUAUCCUAGAGUAUGUUAAGGCUUGAUACACUUCUUUACAUCAAGAAAACACCAUUGAAACCCAAGAUCAAAGGUGUUUACGGUCCAAGAACACCUUGGACCGUAAACCCUAAUUUAGGGGCCAAAGUGACCCUAGUCCCUUCACAAGCUUUGGAAACUAGUCUAGACUCAUUCCUUAAUAUGUUUAGGACUUGAAAGCAUAAAUAUACCAUAUUCCAUAAGGGUUUACGGUAGUAAACCCAAAAGGAAAUGGCCUUAGGGCCAUAAACUCCUCAAAGGAGGGAAAUGGUGCCCUA